GCCUCGGAUGGUCCCACACAACCUUUAAACCGACGUGAAACUGUAUCGCCUCACGAUACGCUCCACCUGAGCGGAAUUUAAAAACCCGUCACCCUGCGUGUGAAGAAGACGUCGGCGGCGACCGUCGUGUCGCUUGUCGAGAGCGAGGCGGGAUGUUGUGGCGUCGGGAGGAAGUUUUGACAUGUUGUUGUUGUGAGGGCUCCAUGGUGAGAGCAAUCACCUCACGGAAACUUUGAGCGUGGGUGAGAAGUUUGGCUGGAAUUCCGUUGCAGGAAAUCCGCUGUCCAUUCGCAUGACUCCAGAGGCCGAGACCCAGUUGAAAUGGAUGGCAGCAUCUGAGUUUCUGCUCUUCACGCUCAACACUUCGGAGACUGAUUGGACAUCCUCCAUGCUUAAUGGCCGUCGGCGGUCCAUUCAUACAAGGUGUUUCCGUGAACGGCCUUUUGGAAGAAUCCCAUCAGGAAAAUCCAAAACAAGGCACAUUGUGUGGCGGCCCCUUGUGGCUGGUGUAAUUUGAACGGACAGCGACGUGAAUGAGGCCCAUUCUGCCAUAGCCGCUUUCAUUUGGCCAUGAUGAAUAGCACUCUGUGCCACAGGAGAGCGGUCACUCACACUGAGGUUCACGGCCGGCCGGCAGAGGGCUUUUCGUGCCGUUACAGGUUAUUAAUCGGCGGGUCGCUUCCCUCCGGUGCUUCCUGCCAGAGAUGGAGGACUUGACAUGGCCAGAGGUGCCAUGCUGGAGGAGGGUAUCGCAGUCUGGGAGCUGGGCCUUCACAUUCAGCCUGGAACAAAAGGCUUUUCUUGUGAUAGAUUGGCAGAGCUUUUCUCUACGCCUCUGCCUCCACAGGCCUUUUCUGCCCAUUUCUUUAGUAAUGCUCUUGUUAGUGCACCGCAGUUUCCUGACCGCUGGUUUCAUUUCUGGCUGUAGAAAAAAAAAAAUCUACUUAAGAGUGA